CACAUUUUAAAAGCUAGCCUAAAAUUUCAUCAAAAUUAUAACUCUCCCUCCAAAAUAUUUUACUUUCCCACCAAUUUAUAAUUGGCUGAAAAAUAAAUAAAAAAGAUAAAAUUGGGAAAGUUAAUUAGGGAACUCUCUUUCCCAGUUUCCAUUUUCAUCGUGAAAAAAUUAGGAAACCCCACAAAACACUCUCAGCUCUUACAUUCUCCCCCUAUUGAAUCUGUGUCAAAUCUCUCCCAUUCUUACAUAUUUCAACUCCUAUUCUCACGUAUUUCAGCUCAGAAAUCUGUCACAACUCCAAUUCUCAUAAAUUUCUCAACUCAAAUUUCUCAUGUGAGCUCAAAUCGAAGCUCACAUUCUAUUUCCCAAAUCUGUUUGUUUCACCAAUUUCUUCUAAUUUCAACUUAUUCCAGCUGAAAUUUCUCAAAUUCCUUCUAGUUUUAACUUAGUUCAGCUCAAAUUUCUUCUAAUUUCAGCUUAGCUCAAGUCAAAUUUCUUAAUUCAGUGGAGAUUUCAAUUUGUUUGAGGUAAAAAAAUAGAAAUCAGUCCACCGUGGGACUAAAAUUUGACCUUGUAAUUUCUGCUAUGCUCAGCUCAAAGUUAUUCUAAUUUUCCAAAUUUCAGUGGUGAUUGGAGUUUGCGUGAGGUAAAAAUGGUAAGCUAGUCAUGCUCGGGAAAGUUGACCUUUUCACUAUUGAGAAAGAUAUCAAAUCCUUUUCUUGUUUAUGCUUCUCGCCUCCUUUUUCUACCUCUUCUAUUUUCAAUCUUCGUUGCAGUAAUUUUUGUUAAAAAACUGUUAUUCCCACCAAGGAUGAGAAUCAAUAUCAAGUUCUGUCACUGAACAUGUCUAAAUUGAACAUAUUGGGAGUCCAGUUGUGAAGCAAUGUGAGUCCUCUAUGUAUACAAAUGUAUUAACUGGUGACUAUGGUUCAUCAGGAUCUUUUGGAACAUCCAAAUAUUAUUUUCUUUUGUUUCUAGUUUAUUGUAAUAGAGUUUCUUUUCCAGUUGAGGUAGCUUGAUUGAGAUUGUUACUACGAGGUGGUUCUGAAGGAACGUCUGAUUUUUGAUGAACUGCUGGACUUUUGUCACAUUGUUUUACAUUUGAACUCAAAUGUUCCAUCCAAGGAUUGGAUGGAUUUACCUAGGUAUUUCCAAGAGUAUAUUAAUGGAAUUGGAUCUUUCUUAGAAUCUGCUUACACUUAUAGAGAGCCUCAAGGCAAGCAAAUUUAGUGUCCAUAUGAUUGUUGUGUCAACAUCUAUUGGAGGGAAAGAAAUGUAGUGCAUAACCACCCAAUAGAUCAUAGAUUUUUUAAAAAUUAUAAAAGAUGGAUCAACCACAGAGAGUGAGAAAUCUAGCCGGAUGUUGAUGAUCAUAUGAAUGAGUCGUAUGAUGAUAUUGAUGGGAUGUUGAAUGAUCAAUUUUGACAUCUUGCACAAGCUGAAGGAGUUUAUAAUGGUCCAAAUGAAGAUUCCAAGAAAUUAUUUAACUAAGUUGAAGAGGCUAGCCAAGAACUAUAUCCUGGAUGUAAAGGAUUCUCUAGAUUAUCAUUCACAAUCCAUUUAUAUUUGUUGAAGUGUCUGCAUGGAUGGAGUAAUGAAUCAUUUACUUCUUUUUUAGAGUUGUUAAAAGAGUCCAUGCCCGCGUUGAACAUUCCUCCAUCCUACAAUAAAGCCAAGUCUAUGGCUAAGGAUCUCGGUCUUGAUUAUGUGAAAAUUCAUACGUGUCCCAAUGAUUGCAUGUUGUUUAAGAAUGAUAAUAAGGAUGAUGCAUUCUGCUAUGUUUGUGGAGCUUAUUGAUAUAUUAAAUCGACUGAAGUGGACAGUGAGGUAGUUGAGCCUUCUAAAAAACCUCAUUGUGUUCCAGCAAAAAUUCUGAGACACUUCCCCUUAAUUCCUAGACUUAAAAGGUUAUUUAUGUGCUUCAAGACAACAGAUUUAUUGAGGUGGCAUGAUGAGAAGCGGUGUAAAGAUGAGAAGCUAAGACACCUGGUUUCUUAUGUGAAGAAUUGAAGUCACUGACAGAGGGAUUAGAAGAAGGUAGCAAGAAUGGAUCAGGAAACAGUCGUAAAGAAAAAAGUUUUGAAUCCGAAUAAAUCUCAAAGUCCUUUAAAGAAUAUAAAUUUUAAUGUUCAGUAUCGAUCAAGUAUGGAAUUGGCACAAUAAUAUAAGAUUAAGAGAGAACAACUUGCAAAUGAAUACAAUGAUAAAGCUAGGAAAGUGCCGGCACAAAUGACGCUUAAACGAAAGAAUCCUGAAUCAUCUGUGCCACAACAAGGAAAGAGAAACAUGACUGGGCAUAAGAGAAUAAUUCAAUUAUCCUCAGGGAAAGGGUUAAAACUCCAUAGAUGAUUACUGGAAAAGGAGAAAACACAGAUGUUAUUUCAAUCUCAAAUUGAAGAGUCCAUUCAAAAGAAAGGAAUGAAAUUACCUAUGAACAACCUCAUAUUUUAAGCAUCUUCAAAGGUAGAUGUUAAUACUUCAAAUAUCGAUGGAAGAGCACAUGAUGAAGAAAAGAAACAACAUAUUAUUCAAGGGCUUCAAAACUGCAAACAAGUGAAGAGGAAGUCAGUCCUACCUGCAACUAGUCUUGAUCAAUUUUUUGAAAAAGAAGAGAUACAUGUAGGUGUUGAAAAGCAACAUGACAUUCACACAACAACUGAUCUACCGUCUUCUUUUGUUGAUGAACAUAAUAAAGAAUUUGAUAACUUUGUGGAACAAGAAGAAAUUGGCGAGGAUGGGUGUGCUAGAAAAGAGAAUAUAAAACUUAAAGUAGGACAAAUGCGUGAAACCAAGGAAAAUAAAAGAAACCAUUACAGGCUGAAAUAUUCGUUACAACUCAUACAAAGACGGAGAAAGAAGUUCACGCUGAUAGCCAAAUUAUAAUUGAGAAUGCCACUGAUCAAAUUUGAAUGGUGGUUAUAAGCUCAACUCGGCCUGUGGAUGAAGUGAAUGAUUUACAUUAUUGAACUAUUUUGUUAUAUGUUUGAAUACAUUUUGUUUUAUGUAAUGAAAUUUAUCUUUAUUACCAAUUGAUGUAACAAUGUGUUAGUACAUUUUGAAUAUAUUAUUAUUUAUGAAUUUUAUUGUAAA